UNUGACUUGAGUGCAGAAGGGGAGAGUGGAAUUCCAUGUGUAGCGGUGAAAUGCGUAGAUAUAUGGAGGAACACCAGUGGCGAAAGCGGCUCUCUGGUCUGUCACUGACGCUGAGGCUCGAAAGCGUGGGUAGCGAACAGGAUUAGAUACCCUGGUAGUCCACGCCGUAAACGAUGAGUGCUAGGUGUUAGGCCCUUUCCGGGGCUUAGUGCCGGAGCUAACGCAAUAAGCACUCCGCCUGGGGAGUACGACCGCAAGGUUGAAACUCAAAGGAAUUGACGGGGGCCCGCACAAGCGGUGGAGCAUNUGGUUUAAUUCGAAGCAACGCGAAGAACCUUACCAGGUCUUGACAUCCCGAUGCUAUUCUUAGAGAUAGGAAGUUACUUCGGUACAUCGGAGACAGGUNGUGCAUGGUUGUCGUCAGCUCGUGUCGUGAGAUGUUGGGUUAAGUCCCGCAACGAGCGCAACCCUUAUUGUUAGUUGCCAUCAUUAAGUUGGGCACUCUAGCGAGACUGCCGGUAAUAAACCGGAGGAAGGUGGGGAUGACGUCAAAUCAUCAUGCCCCUUAUGACCUGGGCUACACACGUGCUACAAUGGUCGGUACAACGAGUUGCGAGCCGGUGACGGCAAGCUAAUCUCUGAAAGCCGAUCUCAGUUCGGAUUGGAGGCUGCAACUCGCCUCCAUGAAGUCGGAAUCGCUAGUAAUCGCGGAUCAGCACGCCGCGGUGAAUACGUUCCCGGGCCUUGUACACACCGCCCGUCACACCACGAGAGUUUGUAACACCCGAAGUCGGUGAGGUAACCUUUUAGGGGCCAGCCGCCUAAGGUGGGANGGAUG
rnacentral:rRNA from 1 species